GCUGCAGACGGAGCCCAAAGCGAAGAGGUGGGCGACGACGUUGGGGAAAGUUUCUGUCCGUUGGAGCUUGUGGAUGUGGCUGCUGUUGAGGUCGAGAUGGUUGUUGAUGCUGAAGAAGCCGCCGCGGCCGCCGCCGCUCCAAAGAAACGACAAGCCAGCCGCAGCCCGGGAGGAGUGACUGACAGCGUCCACGCCAAUUAGAACCCCAGAUACAACCUGGACUCGCACCAUCCUUCUCCAACAGAACAGAGCUGGGUAGGAUUGACAUUGACAUUAUCCUAUCGUGGCGAAAAAGGAUGGGCUGCUCCACGUUCUGCUCUCCUCACCCGAUUAGCUCUUUGCACGCUGCCUCGCCUCUUUCCUGCAAUAAUUGUCAGCCUCGUCCUCCAGCCAGGAGGCCGGAACUCUAGACCCUCCCCUGCCAUUUGCUAUUCGAACAACAUUACUGGGCUUUCCAAAGGGGUGCCGUUUGACUGACGCUUCCUUCAUUCAAUCGCCUGCCCCGUCCCGGGCCGCGUUCUCCGGGCCCGGAGUGCGUGAGCUCGUGAUUGGCAUCUAAACUCAACCUGUCCUUUCAGCCCAAGGUUUGUCUGCUGCUGGGGCUCUUUUUACUCAUUGGUUGUAUUUCAGCUGAUCGCAGGGAUAUUUGCAUCUUUUACCCGUUUGUCUUGCAUUAUAAUUUUGCUCUGUUGAUGUUGAAAUAAGUUAACUUUUUCGGUAGACCUGUCAGUUGCUAUUAACCCAGCUGAGAACGAGCCCUUGCAUUUGUGCAUACGUCUCGAUAGACCUAGCUGUGAAAUUGUGUGUUAUUGUUCCGCUUGAGUUGUAUUUUUUUUAGGAUAUCGCGAUAGUCCUUUUCAAAUCACGAAAGUGAAGCCGCAACAGAUGUUGACCAUGCUUUCUCAAAAAUGGCGAGGCGCAUAAUUGAAGCGUGCCUCCUUCUCAAGAUCCUCUGCUUGCUGACAUUUAGGAUUUCAGAACCAGCCAGUUUAAAAUGUAAUAUUCAUAAAAAUUGUAAUGGGUGAGAUCGGACAGGAUCAAAUGGAAAAGUAAACGGGUUUUUCUCAAGCAUAAUUGUACAUUUAAUGCUGUGUACUUCUUCAUUUGUAAUUGAAGGCCGGAGUAGAAUCCAAUUUCAAUUGAAUAGAUGAAUGACGUCGGCCGUCCAAUCUGCCAGUGGGACGUGGAGGUCAAUUUCAAGCAGAAGUCUCGAUUUAUGGAUAUCUAGUCGGCACGGACUAGAAGGGUCGAGAUGGCCUGUUUCCGUGCUGUAAUUGUUAUAUGGUUAUAUUAUAGGAAUCACGGUAUAGGGAGAGGGGUGAUCAAGCAAAUGUCGCGGUAGAAGAUCGAGGGGGCGCAAGGCCUACUACCACUGUUUCUCGUUGUGUACGCUUUUCUGGAGAUGGUGCACCAACUUCAGCACAUCACUGUGGGGAGGAAUUUUGCCAUUGCCAAUAUACCAACCCUUGUAUUUGUUGUGCAGUUGUGUUUUCAUUGUGCAAUAUGUGAUUCCCAAAGUAUUGUAGUUGUGCAAUUUGACAAAUACAACUUGAAAUCUAGCUUGAAUAUAUACUCUCCAACCUCCUCUCUGUCCCCACUCCACAUGCAGCCAUGUCCCAACCUGACAGGUAAUAUCCUGACUAGUGUGUUCCCAAGCAGUCCUCACAGGAUAACCAUUUUAGUUUAGUUUUUAUUAUUGUCAUGUGUACCAAGGUACAGUGAAAAGUUUUUUUGUUGCAUGCUAUCUAGUCAACAAAAAGACUACAUUAUUACAUUCAAGCCAUCCACCGUGUACAGAUACAGGUUUAAAGGGUAUCAUGUUUAGUGCAAUUAAAGAUAGUUCAAAGGUCUCCAAUGAGAUAGAUGGGAGGUCAGGCCUGUACUCUAGCUGGUGAGAGGACGUUUCUAUUGCCUGAUAGCAGCUAGGAAGAAACUGCCCCUGAAUCUGGAGGUAGACAAAAAUGCUGGAGAAACUCGGCGGGUGCAGCAGCAUCUAUGGAGCGAAGGAAAUAGGCAACGUUUCAGGCCAAAACCCUACUUCAUCUGGAGGUAUCUGUUUUCACAUUCUGUACCUCUUACCUGAUGGGAGAGGAGGGAAGAGGGAGUGUCCAGCGUGAGAUUAGUCCUUUAUUAGGCUGGUGGCCUUGCCGAGGCAGCAUUAAGUGCAGAUGGAGUUCUUGGAGGGAAGGUAGAUUUGCCUGAUGGUCUGGGCUACAUCCAUAACUCUGUAAUUUCUUGUGGUCUUGGAUGAAGCUGUUCCCAAACCGUGCAGUGAUGCAUCCCGAUUAGAUGAUUUCUACAGCGCAUCUGUAGAAGUUGGUGAAGGUUGUUGGGAACCUGCUGAACUUCCUAAGCCUUCUAAGUUAAUAGAGGCAUUGGUGUGCUUUCUUGGCCAUAGCUUUGAUGUGGCUUGUCCAGGACAAAUUGCUGGUGAUACUUAUUCCUAAGAACUUGAAGCGUUUGACCAUCUUUACUUUGGCGCUAUGAAUGUAUCACGUAGAAUGUGUACUGCUUUGCUUCCAGAAGUCGGUAAUUACUGCACACUCCCUGUAAAGGUAGAAUAUUCUAAGGAAGGAUUUAAUUUUAGACCUUUAAAAAUGUAAAUACCAUCUUGGAUGUUGAGCAUUGCAGAAUUUUGCAGCAGCAAGGCCUUAAAAGAAACACAUGACCAUUACCAAUUUAAACAAAAGGAUUAUGCAGAUACCCCAGUCCUUUUUCACCAGGAGAAGCAACUCAGCAGGUUAGGUGACAUAUGUGGAGGGCAGACUAAUUUCUGGUUUGGGACCCUUCAGACUGACUGGAGGAGUGGAGGGAAACAUAGAAAAGACGUGGGGGGUGGGACAAAGCCUGGCAAGUGAAAGAAAGGUGGAUACAGGUGAAUGGGGUGAUAGGCAGCUGGGGGAAGUGACAAUGGCUAGAUAUGAAAAUAAAACAAAAGAGUGACAGAAGAGGAGCAAUUAAAUGUAAAGCUGGAGCGAGGGAUAUGAUUCGAAGGAGACAGGGGGAAGAGGGAAAUAUGGGGAGUAAAAAGGAAAUGGGAGACUCGGUGAGAGAUAAGUGUAGGGAAGGGAACAGGGUGCCUGUGAGGGGUAGUAGAUGGUGGGAGAAAUGUGCGGAGAGGAAAAAUAUUACUUUAAAUUGGAGAAUUCAAUGUUGAUAAGCAACCCAAGCAAUAUGAGGUCCUGUAACCAGUUUGUUUGGGCUUUCACUCUGGCAAAGGAGGUAGCCAAGGACAGAAAUGUCAGUAUGAGAAUAUAGAACAGUACAGCACAGGAACAGACCAUUCAGCCCACGAUGCCUGUGGUGAACAAGAUGCCAAGCCCAUCUCUUAUCUGCCUGCACGUAAUCCAUAUCCCUCCAUUUCAUGCACAUCCAUCUAAAAGUCCCUUGAACGUUAUUAUCAUAUCUACCUCGUCAUCUCUGGACAAGGACACUAAAGACUACUAUUUAUUGACUAUAGCUUUGCCUUCAGCAUGAUUAACUCAUCCAAACUCAUCUCCAAACUAUAGGAGUUAGCACCUCCUGUCUGCCACUGGUUCCUUGACUCUCUAUUCCAUGGACCACAAUCAUCCUCCACAAUAAUUCUCAACACUGGUACUCCACAGGGAUGCUUUCUCAGCCCUUUACUAUAAUCCCUAUACACGUUCAAACUGCAAUUAAUUUCUCUCUAACUCCAUUACAGGUAUGCAGAUGAUGCCACUGUAGUAGGUCGAAUCUUGAACAAAGAUGAGAUGUAGUACGGGAAGGAGAUGGAGAUCUUGGUAACAUGAUGUCAAGACAAAGUCAGCAAGACAAAGGAGCUAGUUAUUAAUUUCAGGAAGCAAUUGGAGCACAUGCCCCAAUCAAUGAUAAUGAUGACGGUGGAACCGGUCAGAAGCUGCAAAUAUCUAGGCAUAAAUAUUUCCAGCAAUCUAUCUUGGGCCAAUCAAGUUCAAGCUAUGGCCAAAAUAAGCACAUCAAUGCCUACUUCCUCAGAAGACUAAGAAAGUUUGGCAUAUCACCAUCAACUCUUACCAACUUCUCCAGAUGCACCAUAGAAAGCUUACUAACAGGUUGCACCACAGCUUGGUUUGAGAACUGCAGUGUCCAAGACGGCAACAAAUUACAGAAAGUUUUUGAAUGUAGUCUAGCCAAUAAGACAGGUCAGACAGUCCACCAUUGUUUCCAUGUGUAGGAAGAUGCUGUUUUAAACUGAAGAUAGACACAAAAAGCUAGAGUAACUCAGCAGGGCAAUAGCAUCUCUGGAGAGAAGGAAUGUGUGAUGUUUCGGGUUGAGACGCUUCUUCAGUCUGACAAUAUACAUAUCACUUGCCAGGUUUUAUCCCACUUCCAACACACUUUUCUGGCUUCUCCUCCCUACUCCAAUCAGUUUUAAAGAAGAGUUGUGACUUGAAACGCUGACUGCGAUUCCCUCCACAGAUGUUACCUGACCUGCUGAGUUUCUCCAUCUGCACGACUCUAGCAUCUGCAAUUUUUUGUAUUUCUUCGUUCAUCGGGAUGGAGUGAAAAGUUAUGUCUCAUUUGGGAUUGAGGCACUGUGGGAAUUAAAAUUCAGACAUUAUAUUCCAAAGGAGAAAAUAUAUAACUGAAAGUUUAACAUACAAUAACAUAAAAAUUAAGGCAGAAAAGCAUAUAGACAAUAGACAAUGGGUGUAGUAGUAGGCCAUUCGGCCCUUCAAGCUAGCAUUGCCAUUCAUUGUGAUCAUGGCUAAUCAGCCACAAUCAGUAACCCGUUCCUGCCUUCUCCCCAUAUCCCCUGACUCCGCUAUCUUGAGCCCUAUCUAGCUCUUUCUUGAAAGUAUCCAGAAAACCGGCUUCCACCGUCCUCUGAGGUAGAGAAUUCCAGACUCACUACUCUGUGUAAAAACAAGGGUAUCAUCAUCUCUGUUCUAAAUGGCUUACCCCUUAUUCUUAAACUGUGGACCCUGGUUCUGUGUGCCACUCAUGUUAUGAGUCAUACUGUAGCUCCGCCCACUGGUUUAAUAGAAAGCCUGUUUUCCCUUUCUUCCCCAGUCUAGAGUUAUGUGUUAAGAUGAAGUUACCUAUGCUGUAUUGCUAAUAAAAGUCUUUGGAUCUCAA